UAAUUUACAGCUUUGUUCCUUACAGACAACUUGAAAUCGGUGCUUUAAUGAGCAUGGGGGUUUGGAUCUGACCUCUUGUUGGCCUACACAUUCUCUUGGAGAGCUGCAGCACAGCUUAAUCAGCCUUUAGCCGUGCUCCAGAGGUGCUGCAGUUCCAUUUCUGAUGCUAAAAAUAAUUGAUAAUAGAGUUUCUGACUCAGUCUUAACAUUUAUGGGCCAUGCUGCUUACUUCUGCUCUCAGUGGUGUAAAGAGCAAGGGAUAAUACACAAACCCACAAUUUAUUUCCGUUUCUGUGAAGCCGACAGCUCCUUUCAGUGCAGCACUCAGAGAAAGCCAGGGGAACCUUUGUGCAGAGGGGCUGCAGGUUCUUACAGUCCGAGUUUAGCAGUCCAAACAUGUUCUGACUCUCCUCUUCCAAGAGCAAAACAAAGCUGUGUGAGCAUGGGCCACACAGAAACUUCUUUGAAAUCUUUGUUCCAGCCCGUGAUUCUCUUGGGAAUGGCCCAUUGCUGCGGACAGAGCUCAGUUGAGAAAAUGCCCAUUAGAGUCUGGGUUUAUUUCUAAAUAGCCACCCCAAGCAUUGCCAUGUUUGAGUGUAUUUCAGGAAUAUAAGAGUAAUGCUUCACCAUGUAAAUGAUUACAAAUCUCCCAGGAAAGCCAGAACCAGUGCUCUGAAGAUGAAUUCCAGGGCCAAAGGAGCAGCUAGAGCUGCACCUGAGCGCAGGGUGUUGUCAGAAGAGCAGAUUUAUGUACAAUAUCUGGCUGAAAGUGCAACAGUAAAAACAUUUUAAAGACCCUAUUGUUCCUCUUCUAAAAGCAAAUUAUUUUUUGAGAUUUACCAGGCAGUUAGAGUUGCCCACGUCAUAAAGCCGUCAGUUCUGGUGCCAUAUGGGGGUCUUGCUCCCAGCUCUCGGAUCACAUGUGUGCCCCUUAGAAAAAGAACUAGAAGUUGUCCUUAGUGCUGUGCAGGUGUGGUUCUGUGUGUGGAUGGGCUCUGCAGGGCAGUGUCAGUGCUGAGGUGGGAUGGGCUCUGCAGGGCAGUGUCAGUGCUGAGGUGGGAUGGGCUCUGCAGGGCAGUGUCAGUGCUGAGGUGGGAUGGGCUCUGCAGGGCAGUGUCAGUGCUGAGGUGGGAUGGGCUCUGCAGGGCAGUGUCAGUGCUGAGGUGGGAUGGGCUCUGCAGGGCAGUGUCAGUGCUGAGGUGGGAUGGGCUCUGCAGGGCAGUGUCAGUGCUGAGGCAGGCUCAGCUGACGUGCUCAGCUCCCUGGCUCAGUACAGACGACACCUCCUCCUCUUCCCAGAGCCCCAGCAGGCUGGGGGUGCAGCUGCAGCUGCUCUUGCCCCUCUGUGCUUGGGGAGGAUGGUGCUGUGGGCACCCAGUGCUGCAGAGGGAAGUCCAGGGUCUUUGGCUUCGAGCCUUUGCACCUUUAGCUGUCGAGCACUACCAUUUUGUGCUGCCCCAGCUGUACGUUCCUCGUUAACCUGUCUGCUUCCUCAUCUCUCAAAAACACAAUUCCCAAAUGGCACCCUUGCAGUGAUACCUAGGUGUGCACAUCCUGAGCCUCCAAAGGGACCUGGAUAUUGUACAAUUCCCAAAACCACCCAGGUUAGUCUGCUCAGUAGGUAGCAUGGGCUGCUCUUGAGAAACGUUUGCUCAAUGACCAGGUCACUCAUGGCUUUAAACUUAGCCUAAGAAUUUGUGUUUUGAAAAGCUAGUUCAUAGGUGGGGCUACCUUUGCAUAUGUGCCACCUCAGCAAGCAACCACCUGUAUGCCCAAAUUCUCUUCAUAUUGCAGUUUAUUGCCCCAGACAGUUAAUUUCAGUCUGUCUCUGUAUCCUGUGUGUGUCCUGAGAGUUGUGAGAAGAAGCCAAGCCCCAGAAAACCAGCAUUAUUUUUGAAUCAUCUCUGUGUUAAUAACCAUGCACUUUCCCAAAUAGAUCACAGGGCAUAGAUAGAUCACGUUCUUUCUGUGGUAGAGUCUGAUCAUUUCAUGCCUUUCCCCCCCGGAGCCUCAUAACACACUUAGUGCAGUUCUGCAGCCAAACCUCCAUAUAUACAUAUAUACCCAUAUAUGUAUAUGCCACGUGAGCAAUGCUGAAGGUAUUUAAUGCCACCCAAUGCCGUGUGCCUGCAUGCCAAAGGCUAAAGAUCUGGCCCUUCAUCUUCCCGGACUGGUGUUGAAGGCCCUGGGUCUGUUCCGACAGCACUGUCCCUGAUGCUUCUCCAGCCGGGUGCCGCAGCCUGUCCUGCAGCAGUAGGAAAACAUGGUAUGAGAAGCUUCAUUCUGCUCCAAGCCCAUUUCUGAGGAGUUGGCCGUGCUGUGGAUGUGCGAGCUGCCAGGGGAGGAGAGGGCACACGGGCGGGAGAACAACAGCAGGGCCUGCCGAUGAGUUAGCUGAGAAGAAACACUCCCAUUCCCUUUCCUGGACGGAUUCACAGGCCAGCCUUGGUGCCCAUCGGGAAAAAGGGUCUUCCCAAGUGCCACAGCCAUUUGGGAUCAUGCAAAUCCAUUUUGUGCCCUACAUCCCCAGCAUGUGUCCCUGUGCCUGGGCACACCUGCUCUCCCUGGGUGCUGCAGGGUUACUCACCCCGGGAUGGAGUGUAUCACUUGUUACUGGCUCUGCUGGCAGCUGGCUCUGAUUGUAAUUGCACUUUAAAUGGGAAGCUGAGCUGAUGGGCACUUGAGAGCCACGUGCUGAGUCCUGUCUAGGCAGCAGAACAUUUUGGGAAUCGUUUCACUGCCUGGGAGGCUCUGCUUGCCGGCUGCUCCGCACGGUGGCCGUGGGGAGGGCAGGGAGCCCUUCUCCACAGGGCAUUCUCACCAGCCAUGACAGUCGAGCUCAGGGCAUCGUAGGUUUGGCAUUCAAAACUCAGGACGGUGAAAGCAGUGAACGCUUCACAAAAUCAGCCUGAACUGGGGCCACUGUAGAAUUUAUCAUUGGAGACACUGAGAGCACAGAAUUUUGUGUAGGCCAACAAAAAGGGCUAUUUUCAAUUACUGCACUGCAUGACUUGUAGAUGUUAACUUCUCUCAUUUCCUGAACAACCAAUAAUACUUAUUUAUAUUUGUCCAGUAGUACUUAACCCAAUGUUUCCAGUUAAGGUGCUAUUGUAGCACUUCAGUUGACUUUAACUUAUAGUUACAACAUAAAAUCCACCGACUCACAGCUGAUCCUCCCCUUCCCAAAGUGAUGUUCUAUAGCAAAAUGCUGUACCUCUGGGUGGGCUCUCUGCAUGUGUUACUGACUGUUUACAUUUUUUAC